rnacentral:sRNA from 1 species
UGGGGAGAGACCUCUCCUUGCGGGCUGU